CUUCUUCUCUCCGAAUCUCUCUCUCUCAACAGACAUCUCUCUCUUGACGGACAACACCAUUCAAACAAGGUGGCUUUGCAGCUUGUUGCCGUCGCAUGUCCAGGUUCGUUGAACUUAUUCAAUUCUAUAAACCUCGAUUCCUUCUCCUUCUCCUACCCAACCAAACCCUCUCAUCGUUCGUCUUCAGAUCAGCCAUAGAGGAUGAGAAAACUUGAAGAAACCUCUUCCGUCGUCAUGAAUCUGUAAUGGUAAUGACUAAGCUUGACGACUGCAUUAUCAAGAAUCUGAAGGUGAAAUCAAGUUAUCAACGAGAGGGAGGCGACAUUGUUGCUAAAUAAAAGUGGAGCAUUGGGAGUGGAAGAAUCACGGACUAGCGUUUGAUCUCUCUGGUCUUCUCGAUGUGGGACUGAACCGUUUGAUGUAGUGUUGUGCAAUACAUGGACUAGAGCAAUAAUGGCACAGUACAUGCCACUAGACAACCAACCCGAGGUUCCAAACCACGUGAAUGAUGAACGUGCCUGAGUGAGCGGAAUGAUGAUCCAUCUAUUUAUUCCUCGUUAAGGGCUCAAGGUGACAUUUUCUUUUAACCGUUUUGGCCCUUGAUGCCUCUGUAUCUCUGUAACUCCUUUACUAAAUAGUGUGUUUGCUGAAAUUUGAUGUCUUUUACUUUAAAUGGCUUAUACUUUUUUUACUUGAAUGUCUUUUACUUAUGUUCAUGGGACUUAUGUAAUAGGGAAAACUUGAUUUAG